rnacentral:rRNA from 1 species
AUACGUAGGGGGCGAGCGCUGUCCGGAAUGAUUGGGCGUAAAGGGCGCGUAGGCGGCCCGGUAAGUCUGGAGUGAAAGUCCUGUUUUUAAGAUGGGAAUUGCUUUGGAUACUGUCGGGCUUGAGUGCAGGAGAGGUAAGUGGAAUUCCCAGUGUAGCGGUGAAAUGCGUAGAGAUUGGGAGGAACACCAGUGGCGAAGGCGACUUACUGGACUGUAACUGACGCUGAGGCGCGAAAGUGUGGGGAGCAAACAGGAUUAGAUACCCUGGUAGUCCACACUGUAAACGAUGAAUGCUAGGUGUAGGGGGUAUCGACCCCUUCUGUGCCGCAGUCAACACAAUAAGCAUUCCGCCUGGGGAGUACGGCCGCAAGGCUAAAACUCAAAUGAAUUGACGGGG